UCCUUAGUGGUGUAACGGCUAACAUCGCUGUCUUUCAAUUUCGCGGAAUUCUGCAGGAAAAUUGGCGCACAGCAGCUCGGGGUUCGAUUCCCCGCUAAGGAG